UUACACUAUUUACUGUAUUAUUUUUCUGACUUGCCUUCGAAUUAAAUUUAAAGGCAGACUUAGACAACGGAUCUUGUUCAAAAUCAUUUAAAUUGUUGGAAGAAAGAUGUUGCAUUUUGGUGUUUUAAAAUGCAAUUUUAGUAUUAUGUAGAGCUGUUGAAUUACAGUCGAACCUCGUUACUACGUACAAGUCGGGAUAUCAAAAACAUGUUCGUUAUAAGCAUAGAACGUUGUAACCACUUAAUGCAAGAUGGAUGAAAGAACUCACGAAAUAUCCAUGUAAAUGAUAAAACUUUAAUAGAACAGCCCCUUAAAUUGACUACAAAACAAACGAACACAUUAUUACUUGUUAAAUAAUUCGACAAAGCUCAUUUGAAUCCUUGAAAUUUUCCUUAAAUUACUCACGGUUACUUAGUGCCGGCCGGCGAUAAACGGCAACGAAAAUACACAACGGCUGGUCAAAAUGGAUUUUUAAAAUAAACAUUCGCAUCCAAAUUGGCAUUUGGCCUGAAAAUAUUAAUGAAAUAUUGGUCAAAUUAAAUCAUAAAAUCCUUUACUUCCAUUAUUAUUCUGAAUUCACAAUUACCAGCAAGACCGGUAUUUCACAAGGUUUAAUAAACAAAGAAUACGCACACAACACUUAACAAGCCAUUACUACGCAGUCCAGUAACGGUCGGUCAAGGCAACUCAUUUAAUGUGGGAAGUUACAACGCAAUAGACAAAUGUGCAUUGUCGGGCGAAGAUCAGGUGGGAUUAUCGCUAUGACAACAGACUGACAGCUGAAGGCCGACUUGGAUAAGCAACUGAAUUUCCAAAGUACAUUACAGAGACAGAACACUUAUGCCAGGCAUUCUCCUGAUGUCUGGAACAGCAAGGCAAGUUGCUGUGUUAGAGCUGACUAUUUCCCGGCAAGACCCAAUGGAGUGGAUAAGGCACCGAUACGAGGUUUCACAGCUUCUUAGAUACAUGGAGGCCAACGAACCUGAAGAUUCCACUGGAAUGUCAUCAGUGGUGAUUGGGAAGUGACUCUUGCUGUGUCUUCAAAAUCCACGAAAAUCUCUUUUCUUUCAUUUCAUGUUCAGGGUGAGGUUCGUUGUUGUUACAUCAGACCAACAGCCCUAUCAUCUUGGAUCCAGCCCUAAUGUAGUUCCCAGUCUUUUAAUGUCCACGCCUUGCAUCAUGCUGGGGUCCAGUGCGAGUGGUGUGUGGAAAGACGGAGAUGUUUUUGUGGAUCGAUACAGGCCACAGCAUUUUAUUGCUCAAUAAAUUCAGUUUUUCAAUAUGA